CACAGAACAUAAAUUAUACAAGACAGAAGAGGAAAAAAUAUGGAUAAAAUAAUCAUUAAUAUAGAUCAAAAAGAGACAAUGGUCUCAACACCUUUCCCUGGGGAACACCACCAUUCACCUUUCCCAGUUCAAAAACUGACCAUUCACCUUGUCCCCCUGGUACCCAAGCUGUCGAUGUUCCUUUAACCUCACUGAUUAUGUGGUACCUUAUCAACAGUCCCUUAUCAAGAUCAGCCAUGGGUUUUAUUGAAUGACAGAACAGAUUUAAAUGGCUCAAUGGCCAACUUCUCUAGUUAGUCACCAAUGUAUAGUACAUACAUCUGAGAUGGGGGAGGGGGGUGGUGGUGGAGGUGAGGUCCAGGGGAGGGGUCUUUCUCUACUCAGUGGGGUGUGAGUUGCCCCAGUAGUGUGGGUCUCAGUGUGGAGUUGACACAGGUCUGAAAUUGAUGGAUCUUUGGACACUUUGGGGCUUCUAGAUCAGUUGAAAGGGCGGCCUCAUUUUUCUUUGCGACUUAGAAAGAGGCCAUUCAUUCCUUCGAGUCUAUACUGGCUCACAGAACAUUCCCAUCGUCCCCUUCCCCACUUAUUCCCUGUAUCCUAUUCUCUCUCUCACACACACACCCAUCGUCUUCCCGGAUUCUGCCCCCACUAACCCACAAUAAGGGGUAAUUUUUACAGCGCUCAAUUCAGCCGGGAUUUGGGAGGAAACCGUUGCACCCGAGGAAAACACACAGGGAGAAAGUAGAAAUUCCACCCGCGGAGGUCAGGUUCGAACCCAGUUCUCUGCGGCUGUGGGACAUCUGCACUAACCACUGUACCGGCGACAAGGUCAAGGAUCAUACGGAAUGGGGAAGGAGGGUUCUGGUCUAUUUCUGACCCUAUUUCUUACUUUGGGAGAACUCGAAUGAAAUAUCUCCCAACCCAGAAGACAGCAGCACUUGAAGAAAGCAUCUCACCAGCCCCAUCUCAGGGCGACUCUGGAUGGCAAUGUGACGGCCACACCGUGGAAUAAUGUGCAGUGAGUUUUAACCAACAAAAAAUAUCCAGAGGCGCUGAGAAAACGGCGCAGUUUCUGUCCUGAACUGUUGUUCUGACUGGUAUCCGGGGGAUAAACCCGAGAGCCAGACGCGGUUGGAAACACCAUGUCUAUCGAGCUCCUGUUACAGAGGAGGUCCUCUUCAGGCAAGGAAACCAUCGUGCAGGGGAGAGCACAUUGGUCACGUUGAAAACGCAUCUUCAGGCACUGCCUGACCUGCUGAAUUCCUCCAGCACAUUGUGUGUUGCUCCAGAUUCCGGCAUCUGCAAUCUCCUGUGUCUCCUCGGGCAUACAUUUAAGAUGCUGCCUGACCUACUGAGACUUUCCAUCAUUUAUUUCAGAUUUACAACACCUGCAUUUUUUUGAUUUUCAUGGCACAAUCUCUUAACUUGCACAGUGAUCCUUCAUGUGUCACUGAAUGCCUACCAGAACUCUAAAUGCACUACAUCAGCUAGUUCCCCCUUAUUGACCCUGCUCAUUCUAUCCUGAAAGAACUCUAAUA